GAGCCAUGCGUUGAGCACAAAGCGAACUAUUCUUUCGCCUUUUACUAAAGAAUACCGUGUGCUCGUCGCUACAAGUGGCAUACGACUAUUUUUUAAAGGUGACUUUCCUUUUGGAAGGU